rnacentral:tRNA from 1 species
GGCGGGUUAGCAAAAUGGUUAUGCAGCGGAUUGCAAAUCCGUCCAUCCCGGUUCGAUUCCGGGACCCGCCUCCA